UCCGUAGGUGAACCUGCGGAAGGAUCAUUAAACCUUAUACUUCGGGGGGCCGGCGUUGAAUAGCAAUCAGCUUUUCUCCCCGCCCUGUCUGAACAUUACCCAUGCUUUUUGCGUACCCAUUGUUUCCUCGGCAGGCUUGCCUGCCAGCAGGACCCCUUUAAACCCUUUUGCAAUUGCAGUCAGCGUCAGAGAAAAAAACUUAAUAGUUACAACUUUCAACAACGGAUCUCUUGGUUCUGGCAUCGAUGAAGAACGCAGCGAAAUGCGAUAAGUAGUGUGAAUUGCAGAAUUCAGUGAAUCAUCGAAUCUUUGAACGCACAUUGCGCCCCUUGGUAUUCCAUGGGGCAUGCCUGUUCGAGCGUCAUUUGUACCCUCAAGCUUUGCUUGGUGAUGGGUGUUUGUUCCGCUGCAACGCGUGAACUCGCCUCAAAUCAAUUGGCAGCCGGCAGUCUGGUGUUUGAGCGCAGCACAUUUUGCGCUCUUCGCUGUGUAUUGCGGGCGUCCAUGAAGCCUAUAUUUUCGCGCUUGACCUCGGAUCAGGUAGGGAUACCCGCUGAACUUAAGCAUAUCAAUAAGCGGAGGGAAGUCGGACUGGCCAAGGGGCACACCAGGGGGGGGGGAUA
rnacentral:rRNA from 1 species